CAAUAGCGUAUAUUAAAGUUGUUGCGGUUAAAAACGCUCGUAGUUGGAUUUCUGUCAGGGGCGUCCGGUCCUCGCUUUGCGAUGUGUUAUCUGGUUCGACUUUGGCAUCCUCUUGGGGUUCUGACUGCGCUUCACUGCGUGGUGGAGAAUUCAAGACUUUUACUUUGAGGAAAUUAGAGUGUUUACGGCAGGCAAACGCCUUGAAUACAUUAGCAUGGAAUAAUAAGAUAGGACUUUGAGUCUAUUUUGUUGGUUUGCGAGUCAAAGUAAUGAUUAAUAGGGACAGUUGGGGGUGAUUCGUAUUUCAUUGUCAGAGGUGAAAUUCUUGGAUUUCUGAAAGACGAACUACUGCGAAAGCAUUUACCAAGGAUGUUUUCAUUAAUCAAGAACGAAAGUUAGGGGAUCGAAGAUGAUUAGAU
rnacentral:rRNA from 1 species